CCAAGGGCAUCGGCGUUGGAUCAGGCCAGCAUCGAUUGUUUGGAGGAGGUGGUUCUUUCUGGGAAGCAGAGACAGGUAUUUUGGUCCCGGCCACCACAGCUCUGUUGGAUCGAUCUCUUCUUCGUAUCAGUGAUCGUCUCCGGUGAUUGAAGGGUGCAGAGAGGAUGCGAUGUGCUUAUUUUAGAUACUGGAUUGGGAAGUGCAGAGAAUCAAGCAAGGGUCAAGGAGUUGCUUCAUGUGGAGGAAUCAAAACUAGAGGAGGAUGAGGGAAAUACCACUCCAGCAGUGAGAUGGGUUCGAGAUGAUAAAUAUGAUUGCAUCCGAUUAAAGCAUUGCAAGGUUGUGACAAAAAUUGAUUGGCAUCGGAAAGGAGACUAUUUCACUACUGUCGUUCCUAGUGAUAUCCUAAUUAUGAAUUUUAGUUGUACUUAUUUUUAGUCAUUCCUAGUGCCUAUUUUAUAUCUCAGUUUUGUUUCUUUCUUUUUUCUAAUACACAUUGACAAAUUGGAAAUAUAUAAAAAUCAUGACAUUAUACCUAGUUACCUAGCCUUUGAGGGUGGAAUCAGGAUGAAACCUAAAGUGCCCUGAAAAGUUUAGGCAUACCAAAUUCUCUCAGUUUAAUGACAGAGGUGUUUUAGAUUGUAAAUUUCAUCCGAGGCAGCCAUGGCUAUUCACAGCUGGAGCAGAUUCUAUCAUUAAACUGUA